AUGUCCCAUUGCCCAAAAAGAAACCAAGGCCCGCAGGGGUGGACUGGUAAAGAACCCCACAAGUAGAAGCUCAGAAAUUCCUUGCCUACUCUGGAAGGUGAGGGCAUUCCCCCUUCAAAAGAAGGUUAGGUCAGUGUAAAAUGGCUGACACCCCAUGCCUUUGGAAAAGUAUUUCCAGAACAAAAAGUCUACUGCUGACUCCAAGGAGGGCAGAAAGGAAAGCAGUUGCUAUAGCAACAUCUUUGGCAGCCUACUUUCCCUCCUCCUCCUGUUCAAAAACAGUUUCCAGCAGGCUUCCCGGUGUGGGUGGGGAAGGCCUAAUUUCAGCCCAGCAACUGCACUCGGCCAAUCUCCUGCCAGGUUUGGUGGCCAGAGUCAGGUGGUAGCCAAUGAAGAGGCCUGGAGCUUGUGUCGUGGUCCUUGAGCCAGGUUGGAAUAACUAGAGGGCAGGCACACAUGACCGUUUCCACGGUGACUUCCCUUAGCAACCUGACUGGUCCUGUUUAUGAGCACUGGAAAAUUCCACCCAGCCUCUGGCCUGAUUUUGUUACCUUCUGUGCUUCCUUCCUUCCCCAAGGCAGUGAUAAAGUCACUGCCAGUGUUUAACCCCUUCUGGAGAUGUGCCUGACUCCUGACAGAUCCGGGGCUGCGUGUGAGGCCUGCAUGCCCUGCGCUGCACUUGGUACUGGAGGCUGGAGGGAAGGGAGCCCUAGCAGGUAAAUGACAAAAUCCCCAGGCUCCUAAAUCCUCAUCUGUAAAAUGAGGUGACCCAACUCGGUUUUCUGCCUCCAGCACUAAAAUUCCACGAAAAAGUUUCCAGUGCAGAGCAGACACCAAGGCUGUCUGAGCGGCGCCGUCUGCCCCUCGGCACUAUCCCACUCCCGGGGGCGGGCGGGAGCUGGGGGGACCGCCGGCCCGGACAGGACGGUCGCGCCAGGGCCCGCUCGGAGCCCUGCUUCAACGGCUUGGGGAGGCGGCUCCCCGACCAGGCGCCUCGUUUGCUGGAGCCCCCCAGGCCCGCCCCGCCCCUUCACAACCUUCGUCAUUUACUGGAGUCGAGGGGGGAUUUAAAAUACGGAGAAUACAACCCUGAUGUCAUUUGGCUGCUAUCCCGACCUUCACCGUGCCGCUGUACUCCAUCUUCCCGUCUUGGAACUUGCUGCUAAAGACAUUUGCCAUUUUGUAGAUUCUAGAAAUAAAAGACUGGAGGUGAGACGGGAUGGGAAUCGCCAUCCUGUCCUGGGCUCCUAGCUUAAACCA